rnacentral:rRNA from 1 species
UUCGGGUUGUAAAGCACUUUCAGUUGUGAGGAAGGUGGUGUCGUUAAUAGCGGCAUCAUUUGACGUUAGCAACAGAAGAAGCACCGGCUAACUCCGUGCCAGCAGCCGCGGUAAUACGGAGGGUGCGAGCGUUAAGUCGGUAAUUACGUGGGACGUAAAGCGCAUGCAGGUGGUUUGUUAAGUCAGAUGUGAAAGGCCCCGGGGCUCAACCUCGGAACUGCAUUUGAAACUGGCAGACUAGAGUACUGUAGAGGGGGUAGAAUUUCAGGUGUAGCGGUGAAAUGCGUAGAGAUCUGAAGGAAUACCGGUGGCGAAGGCGGCCCCCUGGACAGAUACUGACACUCAGAUGCGAAAGCGUGGGGAGCAAACAGGAUUAGAUACCCUGGAG